UUGGCCGGGAAUCGAACCCAGGGCGCCCGCGUGGCAGGCGAGCAUUCUACCACUGAACCAA
rnacentral:tRNA from 1 species